UACGACUACAUAUCAGGCAUAUCAAUAAGCGGAGGAAAAGAAACUAACUAGGAUUCCCUCAGUAACGGCGAGUGAAGCGGGAAGAGCUCAAAUUUGAAAUCUUCAAGGUUUUACCUUGACGAAUUGUAGUUUAAAGAAGUGUUUUCUGUUGGUGUUUUGGUAAAAGUUCUUUGGAAUAGGACAUCAUAGAGGGUGAGAAUCCCGUAUUUGACCAUUACUUCCAGCGUUGUGAUACACUUUCAAAGAGUCGGAUUGUUUGGGAAUGCAGUCCAAAAUGGGUGGUAAAUUUCAUCUAAAGCUAAAUAUUGGCGAGAGACCGAUAGCGAACAAGUACCGUGAGGGAAAGAUGAAAAGAACUUUGAAAAGAGAGUUAAACAGUACGUGAAAUUGUCAAAAGGGAAGCGUUUGACACCAGUGUUGUUUUCUCGAAAAUCAAUUAAAAAGAAGUUGGAUUUUGUAUUGUUAAGACCUUAUCAGCUUACUGUACUUUUUUCCUGCUCUUUUAAUGCACUUUUCGUUUAACAAGUCAACAUCAAUUUCUUUUGUUGUAAAAGAGUCAUUGGAAGGUGGCUUUCACUUCGGUGAAAGUGUUUAUAGCCUUUGGCUUCUACAAUCGGAGAGAUUGAGGUCUGCAGCGUAGAUCCUUCGGGGUUAGAUACGUAGAUGCUAAGUUAUAGUUUUUUAUAGACAACUUGUUGACUAUGAUUAAUCAUGUAGCUUACUCGUUUACGCUAUUUUACCUACGCUUAGGAUGUUGAUCUCUCACAGUCGAGC
rnacentral:rRNA from 1 species